CGAGAAACAGACGAAAGAAAAAUAUAUAUGAUAUAAUGUCUUCAACAGUGAACAGAUAUUACAUUAAAAGUCUGGAAAAUCAGGCAUUUUAAGCAAGGAAAAGCGAAUAGGCCGUUUGCAUUAUGACGUAUAGAUUGAUACCAAUGCCCAACCUGUACCAGUCCUAGAAGAGACUUGGCCAAGUGGAUACCUGUUGAAAGACGUACCUUACAACCUACAGGAAAAAAUUAUAAUUGCCAUCUCAAAAGUAAAUCCACCACUCCAAGUGGGCUGGAAGGAGAUUGGUCAGGAACUGGGACUUGACAGGCAAGCAUUGGAUGGAAUUGAAAGCUUCGCGAGCCAUUUAAGAGGCUCGCAAUUGCUUGAGGUGUUGGGAACUCGAACGCCAACUCUCACUUUAACUGACUUUGUUAAAGCUGUCAUCAAGGUUAAAAGGAAUGACAUUGUUGAGAGUAUAAAACAGUUUUUCCUUCAAAAUAAUGUCAUAGGGACUGACUGAAUUGCAUUGUCCUAAUAUUGCCGUUUCUUCAAACACAUUCUAAGCCCAUUCAAUGUGUUUGAUAGCUUCAUUGAGCAAUGUCCAACUUUUGACAUAAGCUGGGACCAGCAAAAUGUUGGGUAUACAGGGUUUUCAGUAGAAGCCGACUCUUGACAGACCUGGACAGUGAAAAUUAUCGGUUAUAUAGCUUAGUUUAUCACCCGCAAAACGCUGUCAUGAUGUAUACUUAUAUCUAACAUUUUAUAGAUUUAUCAGACUACAAUAGUCUGUAUCAGAGGCAUAAAAUUAGUUUUGUACAAAAUUCAAAAGUGUAAAUAAGUAAAAAUGUAUGAAUUGUGGAUUAUACAAAUUAUGAAAGAAUAAGUGUUCAUUGAAA